rnacentral:rRNA from 1 species
GAUGAACGCUGGCGGCGUGCCUAAUACAUGCAAGUCGAGCGAACAGAUAAGGAGCUUGCUCCUUUGACGUUAGCGGCGGACGGGUGAGUAACACGUGGGUAACCUACCUAUAAGACUGGAAUAACUCCGGGAAACCGGGGCUAAUGCCGGAUAACAUUUAGAACCGCAUGGUUCUAAAGUGAAAGAUGGCUUUGCUAUCACUUAUAGAUGGACCCGCGCCGUAUUAGCUAGUUGGUAAGGUAACGGCUUACCAAGGCAACGAUACGUAGCCGACCUGAGAGGGUGAUCGGCCACACUGGAACUGAGACACGGUCCAGACUCCUACGGGAGGCAGCAGUAGGGAAUCUUCCGCAAUGGGCGAAAGCCUGACGGAGCAACGCCGCGUGAGUGAUGAAGGUCUUCGGAUCGUAAAACUCUGUUAUUAGGGAAGAACAAAUGUGUAAGUAACUGUGCACGUCUUGACGGUACCUAAUCAGAAAGCCACGGCUAACUACGUG